rnacentral:rRNA from 1 species
UAGGGAAUCUUCCACAAUGGGCGCAAGCCUGAUGGAGCAACACCGCGUGAGUGAAGAAGGGUUUCGGCUCGUAAAGCUCUGUUGUUAAAGAAGAACACAUAUGAGAGUAACUGUUCAUUCGUUGACGGUAUUUAACCAGAAAGUCAACGGCUAACUACGUGUCAG